rfam:Oceanicola batsensis HTCC2597 scf_1099451005761 genomic scaffold, whole genome shotgun sequence.
GGCGUAUUUUGCCCAGGCGGAGCUCGACCGCCCGUCGAAGCGAUGAUCGCGUUCAUCGAUGACCACCGCAACGUCCAUGGGGUCGAGCCGAUCUGCCACCUGCUGCCGAUCGCCCCG